GUGGGUGGUGUGAGUAGUAAGGGUGCAUAGUCCUUUUUUCUCUUCUAUGCGUUCAAAGCGAGCAGUCUUAGCUACCUCUGAUUUUUCUAGCAUUUCAGCUUGUCGUCGUAAUUCUGCAGCCAUGCAGCCAUCUCCUUCGAUCUAGUGUUGUCGGCCAUGGAGUCAAUGAAAGUACCAGUGUAAUGGAAUAAAAAUUGAAUAAACUGAGCUUGAUUAAAUAUUGAUGAAGUAAUACUGAUUGCAAUAAUU
rnacentral:lncRNA from 1 species